AGUUAAACAGUACGUGAAAUUGUUGAAAGGGAAACGAUUGAAGCCAGUCGUACCUUCGGGUAAUCAGCCUUUCGGGUGCGAUUAUGUGGAGUGUGAGGAGCUUAAACACCUUCAUGUUUUGCAUAUUCGUACUCUUGGGUGUACUUGCCCGUGUGGUUGGUUAACAUCAAUUUUGGUGGUCAUAAAAUGACUGGAGGAAUGUAGCUUCGAUCUCGUAUUGAAGUGUUAUAGCCUUCGGUAGAUGUGAUGAUCGAGAUUGAGGAUUGCAACGGAUACCCUUCGGGGCUACCUGUCUGAUCUCUGAUCGUUGCUUUGGUGCCGAAAGCUUGCUUACGGUUAUCAAAGUCGAUGGUCAAUAGGUUAGAACGGGUUAAAUUCGUUAAGGAUGUUGACGUAAUGGCUUUAAA
rnacentral:misc_RNA from 1 species